AACGAACGCUGGCGGCAGGCCUAACACAUGCAAGUCGAGCGAGGACUUCGGUCCUAGCGGCGGACGGGUGAGUAACGCGUGGGAACGUGCCCUUUGCUUCGGAAUAGCCCUGGGAAACUUGGCGUAAUACCGGUUGAGCCCAUUGGGGGAAAGAUCUCGCGGCGGAGGAUCGGCCCGCGUUAGAUUAGGUGGUUGGUGGGGUAGUGGCUUACCAAGGCUAGGAUCGGUAGCUGGUCUGAGAGGAUGACCGGCCACAUUGGGACUGAGAUACGGCCCAGACUCCUACGGGAGGCAGCAGUGGGGAAUAGUGCACAAUGGGCGGAAGCCUGAUGCAGCAACGCCGCGUGCGGGAUGACGGCCUUCGGGUUGUAAACCGCUUUCGCCUGUGACGGAGCGUGAGUGACGGUAAUGGGUAAAGAAGCACCGGCUAACUACGUG
rnacentral:rRNA from 1 species